rnacentral:rRNA from 1 species
UGGGGAAUAUUGCACAAUGGGCGAAAGCCUGAUGCAGCAACGCCGCGCGAGUGAUGAAGGUCUUCGGAUUGUAAAGCUCUGUCUUUUGGGACGAUAAUGACGGUACCAAAGGAGGAAGCCACGGCUAACUACGUGCCAGCAGCCGCGGUAAUACGUAGGUGGCGAGCGUUGUCCGGAUUUACUGGGCGUAAAGGGUGCGUAGGCGGAUGUUUAAGUGAGAUGUGAAAUACCCGGGCUUAACUUGGGUGCUGCAUUUCAAACUGGAUAUCUAGAGUGCAGGAGAGGAGAAUGGAAUUCCUAGUGUAGCGGUGAAAUGCGUAGAGAUUAGGAAGAACACCAGUGGCGAAGGCGAUUCUCUGGACUGUAACUGACGCUGAGGCACGAAAGCGUGGGUAGCAAACAGGAUUAGAUACCCUGGUAGUCCACGCCGUAAACGAUGAGUACUAGGUGUAGGAGGUAUCGACCCCUUCUGUGCCGCAGUAAACACAUUAAGUACUCCGCCUGGGAAGUACGAUCGCAAGAUUAAAACUCUAAAGUGAAUUGAC